ensembl:antisense D030055H07Rik RIKEN cDNA D030055H07 gene
GACCUGGGCAGGAAGGCUUCCAGGGAGAAAAUGAGAACUGUGACCAGCCAAGAAGCUCCUGCUGGGCCUCAGGGCUACCUGCUAUCAUGACAGAAACUAGGGGUAGAAAGAAGCCCCCAUAUUCUAAUCUAGUUGGGGGAACAAGCAUAGAGUAGAUCCGAGGGAGGCGGGCGGAGCCACCGAGGAGGGAGUCCUGAGGCACAGUGGGGCCUGGGAAUCGGCCCUUGACCUUCCUAAGAGGCCCUGCCCUUGAAGGCCUCUUCUACACUCUCACAUGGUGAGCGAUGCCAUCACUGAGGAUGAAGAAUCAGGAGGUGGACAUCCAUAACAUUGGUCCCUGUCAACCCUGUGUGCAGCAAAUGUGUUCCUCCCCGGAAGCGGCAAAAAAAAGUGUACGAGUCAUUGUUGGCGAGGGAGAUGGCGAUGUCCAGGCUAUCAGCAGAAGCCUGGCUGACGAGAUCAGACAUGACCCAGGCCCCGGCCACCUUUGUAGGCCCAUCCUGCCCAUCAGUGCCUCCACUCAAAAAUAGCACAUCAAUAGGCCCCAGUGGCUGCCUUCCCAGCUCCACUCCCACAUGCAGGGCCAGUUCUUGGUUCCGACCGCCCUUGCCAGAUCCCUGCAGCUGCACCGUGGGCUCACCACCAGCCAGGAGACAGACCGGCCCUUUAGCCUUUGCUACCGCUUCCAGAGCCUCCUCCAGCUGCAGGUCCGGGAGCUGGAGCUCAGCUGCCAGCUGAUGGAGUUCCGCCUCCUCCUCCAAGGGAUGCUCAGCCAAGGAUGGAGUGAGAUGGGCUGCAGCCACCCGGGCUAGCAGCCCGUAGAACCGAGCCACUCUUUUUACAUCACCCUGCAUGGCUGUGCUCAACACCAUAGCAUGGUAGCCCAGCACCUCGGCUUGCCUCUGAGCCUCAGCCAGCGCCAGAGAGUUAGAGCCGAUGAUCACAUUGAGGACGUGGCCACAGGUGUGUGGUCCAUGGGGGUCAGAGUCAGCUCGGGAGAGCACAGUCUUCACAGAGCGGGGAAGAGCAGCACGGAGGCCAUAGUGGUUUAGAAUAUGCAGGCAGUCUUGCACACUGUGGGCGCUGGCCACCGUAGGGCCACUGGCAAUCACCUCCAAAGGGUCCCCAAUCACAUCUGACAAGAUGAGACUUAUCACCUAGACAAAGGCCACAAAAUAAGGUUCAGUCUUGCCUCCUCCGUGUGCCGGGGCCCUUAAAGACAAACUGGGCCUGGGUAUACAGCAUCUGGUAUGCUUCCUUGCCCACAUCUACCCACGUCUUACCACUUUCAGGUGGGAUGGCAGAUCACCUAACCAGGAAGCCUCCCUCUUACUCUCUCUAGGCUUCCUCCUGGGACUUUUCAGGCCAGGCCCCUGCCAACUCAUAGGUUGGCUUAAGCUCUCAUCUCCCUGCCACGUGUUGGGAACCCAGGGCCUACUGAAGAAGUGAUUAGUGCACCUGAGCAGGAUAGGCAGCCUGAGCCAACCCUCCACCCUUCAGCUGCGACAGGGCCUUGCGGAUGGUGUUUAGCUCCUGGAUCGUGGCUCCUCGGGCUGCCAGCAGCUUGACUGUUCAGCAGGGUGAACUUCCAGCUGAGGAGAGGUGACCAACCUGACACCACCCACUAGGUACCCUCCAGGUUCCUCACUGUCUGCCAUGGUCCCGACUUCACCCUGGGACCAUAUGGUACUCAGGGCACCCCUGUCUGUUCCCACACCUGAGAUGAGCACCAGCAGCAGGUCGUCUGCAGUGAGCCCCUCUGCCAGCUGCUGGAUGGUCAGCGCAGCCCGGAGUGCAUCCCGAUCCGGUAAGUUGUCCUCGGCACCCUCAAACACCUGGAUGCGGCUGUGUGGCUUCAGCAGCAUCUCUCUGAGGAGGGAGCAAACGACGGAGAAGGGAUGGUGUGGGCUCCUCUCCUCCACCUGACUUCUCAGCUGGACAGGUGAAAGCAGCCCACUGAUAACCUAUUUAGAAAACAGGCCAGACCCAGGAGAUGGGGAGGUCAAAGAGGAAGGGAGGUGUUCUUCUAAAGGACAGUAGAGGGCGUCCCCCUGCGCCCAGAGACUCUUACUGCUUUCCAGCAUGUUCCAUAGCGGCUUGGAUCCCCUUGGGUACGCUGAUCACACCCUGCACAAGAUGCUGAGCCAGCAGCUCCUCGGCCGCAGCUGCCAUGCCCAGUACGGCCUUGCCGAAGCCCACUAGGUAGAGAUUUUCCCGCAGCUGGAAGGUCCGGUCCCGCACCUUCAGCUGUCUGCCACUAGGAUCCAGGGACAGUGUCCUCUGCAGCAUGGGGCCUGGCUGCACAGCACCCACUGCACUAUCAAACAGCUGCCGUGCCUGUUCUGCCAAGGCCAUACCACUGGUCAUCCGGGCCACUGGGGGCCCCCAGAGGAGUGGACGGGACGGGGCUCGGAGGAGACAAGGCAAGACCUGUAGGGCCGCAGCCAUGCCCCACUUCUCUCAGCACAGCCUCGUGUCCAUAGCUGCCUAGAGAGGGAGGAGAAGGAGUGAGGCCACGGACAGAACCCCACCAUCUAUCAUGACCACCCCUCUGAGGGCUCAGGACUGGCGGACUCCAUAACCUGAAAUGAAACGUGGAGAAGUCAUGAAGCCUGCAGCAAACCUGAUCUUACACCAGUCCUGAAAGCCCAGCCCUGAUGCCCAGCCACGUCCUCCUCUUCUGUAGGCCACACACCAGUCUUCUGGACACUCUGCCCCAAGUCCAAAGUUCCUGUUAAGUGGACCUUCCUCCUAGGUCACCUCCUUUGCCUGGGAGUUAAUCAUUCAUGAAGGAUGCCGUUCCUACCAGCAGGCCCCUGUGCCAUUCUAUUUCCACAUCCUGUACUUCCAAAGCCCUCACACCACGGCAGUGCCCCCUUUCUGGCAUUUAUGCCUUAGACGUUCCUUUACCACUUCAACUGCCAAAAAAAAAAAAAAAAAAAAAGGCUAUUGGUUGUCUAGCCAACUGACCCUGAGUCCAUUGACCUCUAGCCUGCUCUGUUAGCUCAUACAACCAGUCUGGCAAAGCUGGGUCCAUGUGGAAAGGCUGCAGGUUUACCAGUGCACACAGCCUAAGGAAGCUCAGGACUCAGGCUAGUUCAGCAAGUGGUCCAGGCACGAAUCAAGAGUAACUACAAAAUCUCACUCAAGGUGAAACCUUCAGCAAGUCCCCAGGUUAUAAGCAAAAGGACAUUUUCUAUGGGGCUCAAUCUACAGGACAAGACCAGACACCCUUGUCCCCAUACAGCUGGUCAUGAUCAGCCGUGCCAGGAACACUCCUUUCUGGCUCCAUGAUAGCAAAAAACAAGUCCUGAGUUACACCACUGAGUUACAGCAAAAACAGCCCACUGCUAGAGCAGGCAAAGGCCGGGUUCCAGUAAUGAAGCCCAAACAAUCAUUUUCUCCACUGGGCAGAGUGAAGGACAGAAAGGUCUUGGGGUAAAGGUCGGGAAGCUACAGCGUAACUAUACAGGAACAAUAAAAGACUCAGCUGCAAAAAGAUAUCUAAGUUUAGGGACAGGAGGGUACUGAAGACUGUGCCCGGGCUGUCCAUAUAACGAGCGAGCAUGCGCUCUACCACUGAGCUACAUUCAAGCCCCUAAAAAGGUAGAAAGACAACUGUAUCCGUAAGCAUGGGUGGAAGAGGGUGAAGUCUAGGGAUGGGGUUCUAGCUUUUUUUAAAGCGCGUAGUAGUACAUCUUUUCUCACACUGAGCUCAUUUGCAAGAUGUGGGACACAAUAAAGCCUAACUCUCAGGGAACUUGAAAGUGUAGUCCUGUGGGAGAGACCUUCCCUAGCAUGCAUAAAGUCAUCCAAUUCUCCAUAGUGCUGGGAGACUGAUGCUUGUAUUUUCCUGACACCUCGGGCUUUCUGAUUCUCUGUACAAGCUGACAGAGAAAACUCCAGGUAACAGUUUAUCCCGCUCCUAAACAACGUAGCGCCUGCCAGACCUCCGCCUUUUAGCCUUGUAGUUCCCAGCUAGCUUUCCCAGAAACUACUGUUUGUAAAAAGGAAUACACCGGGCACUGCCGCGGGACGCCUGCAAACAUGUUCAGCUUUCAUGUAUGGGAUUCCCCGGGAUUGAUUCACACAUCUUAGCAUCCAAAACAUAAAGCUCAGCCCUAGGUGAACUUUGUAUCUCUUUCCCAGAGGGGCAAAAGCCUAGAAGGUCCCUAUUAGAAUUCAAGGGAAAAAAAAAAGUUCAAGUCCAAAAUUGCCAGAUUAAGAACUGGGUGUUUGGUGAAAUUUGAAUUUUGGAUAAGUAAUUUUUAUUAUAACUAUGACCAGUAUAGUUUGAAUUAUUUAUAACUAAAAAUUACGUUGUGGUAAGUCU